rnacentral:rRNA from 1 species
ACGCUCGACACCUACGGGAAGCAGCAGUGGGGAAUAUUGCACAAUGGGGGAAACCCUGAUGCAGCGACGCCGCGUGAAGGAAGAAGUAUCUCGGUAUGUAAACUUCUAUCAGCAGGGAAGAAAAUGACGGUACCUGACUAAGAAGCCCCGGCUAACUACGUGCCAGCAGCCGCGGUAAUCUGAGCGGGCUGGCAAGGC